ACGGAGUGCAGUCUCUCUUGCAUGUAAAGGUGAAAAUCCUUUCUUCUCCAUUGAUGAAGGCUACUGCUGCGAUCCUCACCAUUUUGUAGACGGAGAGAGAGAGAGAGAGAUUGGAGCUCAGCUUGAAGGUCUGCAAGAGAGAGAUCUGAGACAAAGAAGAAAUAUCUGGCUGAAAAAGGGAAUGCCAAUCAGAGAACAAAGAAAACCAAGAUUAGAGUUUACGUACUUUACUAAUUGUGAUCUCUUUACGACCUUUUAUAAGAACUUGUAGACCUGGUCAUUUUGUUGUAUACCCAGUAUAUCCAAUGUAUUUUCGGGUCCUACUGGGGGAUUUUCAGUUUUGAGGCAAACUGAGACCUGUUUCUUUCGGGUUGACAGAUCAAUUGUUUCAAUCUGGGUGUCAAAACAUUUAACUGAAGAAAGUGUCGAUAGUGCUUAGCUUUGCUGGAUCAGAUAUGAUACCAUGCAUUUUACUAUUAGCAGAACUAAGAUAUGUUUCUUAUGACUGCAUUCUAUAAUAUGCCUGCUAAGCUUUCUUACAGCUUAAUGUUUGCUAAGGCUGACGCUCAAUUGUCUCGUGCCUUCCGGAAUCAUCAAUGAUUUCGGUGAAAACUGACAUCUACAGAUGAAAGAGCUGGUGUAUUAUGUGUGAUACUACUUACAGAUGUGACUUGAAGGGGUCUAGGAGUCUUCUUUUUGUCCUUGUCUACUGUAUCUUUAACUUAUUAAUAUGCGAUUCAUUCUAAUCCAAUUUAUCAACCUGGUGUCUGUACUUACAUAUGCUCGUAUGGAUUCUCCCUGGUAUUCAGAACUUUAUUCUGGGUGAACAUAGAACGUCAAUCAUGAACUUGUUAAUUUCUGAACAAGUUGCUGGAAGAAAAAUCAUUUAGCAUUUUUAGCAAGGACUGUUAAUUGAUACUGAAGUAUUGGCUUUGUUAUUUCUACAGGAUGGUGACAAACCAAUACAACUUGCAGCUGCAAGAGGCAGUCGGGCAGCUGUUGAAGCUCUAUUGGCCGUCACAUCACGUAUUCAGAGUGUUCCAGAAUGAAGUGUGGAUGGAGUCAUUGAGUUUGUGGAAUCUGAAUAUAGGAGAGAACAGGUACUUAAUUUGUCUUUCUGUAAGGUAAAUCACCGCUGGUUUUGGUCCUCUGUCAGUGUUGCUUCUAUAUAUUGGUGUUAGCUCAGUGACUAUUUCCGUCCCUCUCAUGCAAAUUUCAGCUUCUUUUUAGUUGUCUAAACUGUGAUAAUUGCAGGAAAGAUUAGAUGCUGGGAGGAAAGCAAACAAGUCAAGAGAAACCACUAUUCCGAAGAAAGAUUUACCCGAGGUCUGUUAUUAAUGGUCACUGUUUUCUAUUUUGUGUGUGAACUAGGGUCAUUUCAUUAUCUAAUUGUACGUGAAAAGUAUUUACUGUAUCUGUCUUUGUUUAUACUCUUUCUUUUACUUGUGUCUCUUUCAUUUGAAGUACCUCGGCAUGGUCACCAUCCUGUGUUGGAGAAAACCACUUUACAGAAUAAUGCUAAAUAUCUUACAUUGGCAUAAAUGAUUGGUCUAUAGGUGACUCCUGAAGCAAAGAAGAAAGCUGCAGAAGCAAAGGCGAGGGGAGAUGAGGCAUUUAAGAGGAAUGAUAUUGCUACGGCUAUAGAUGCUUAUACGCAGGUACCUGUUAGUCUUAUUGGAUUCCCCCCUGAAUUCCCAACUUACCCCUUCCCCUGUAAAACACCCGUAAAAGGGAAAAAGAAAGAAGACAGUGAUGAAAGGAAGUAACUAUCCUCUUCAUGGUGUAACUAUAUGGAUUAGACUGAUUAUCAGCGUGUAUGCAUCACUUACAGGGCUCACUUGUGUUUGCUGAUAAUCUGUAGGCAAUCAAUUUUGAUCAACUGAUGGCACUCUGUUUUCCAAUAGAAGUCUUUGUUGGAUCCACAUGGGGCAACCUGAACCUGCCUUAAG
rnacentral:lncRNA from 1 species